GACGAACGCUGGCGGCAUGCCUAAUACAUGCAAGUCGGGCGAACGGAUGAAGUGCUUGCACUUCUGACGUUAGCGGCGAACGGGUGAGUAACACGUAAGGAAUCUACCUAUAAGCGGGGGAUAACAUUCGGAAACGGGUGCUAAUACCGCAUAAUAUCUUCUUCCGCAUGGAAGAAGAUUGAAAGACGGCUCUGCUGGCACUUAUAGAUGACCUUGCGGUGCAUUAGUUAGUUGGUGGGGUAAUGGCCUACCAAGACGAUGAUGCAUAGCCGACCUGAGAGGGUGAUCGGCCACAUUGGGACUGAGACACGGCCCAAACUCCUACGGGAGGCAGCAGUAGGGAAUCUUCCGCAAUGGGCGAAAGCCUGACGGAGCAAUGCCGCGUGAGUGAAGAAGGCCUUCGGGUCGUAAAACUCUGUUAUAAGAGAAGAACAAAUUGUAGAGUAACUGCUACAGUCUUGACGGUAUCUUAUCAGAAAGCCACGGCUAACUACGUGCCAGCCGCCGCCGUAA
rnacentral:rRNA from 1 species